rnacentral:rRNA from 1 species
UACAGAGACUGCAAGCGUUAUUCGGAUUCACUGGGCGUAAAGGGUGCGCAGGCGGCCGAGUGUGUGAGGCGUGAAAGCCCGGGGCUUAACCCCGGAAUUGCACCUCAAACUACACGGCUAGAGCAUUGGAGAGGGUAGCAGAAUUCAUGGUGUAGCAGUGAAAUGCGUAGAUAUCAUGAGGAAUACCAGAGGCGAAGGCGGCUACCUGGACAAUUGCUGACGCUCAGGCACGAAAGCGUGGGGAGCAAACAGG